GAUGAAGAACGUAGCGAAAUGCGAUAAGUAAUGUGAAUUGCAGAAUUCAGUGAAUCAUCGAAUCUUUGAACGCACAUUGCGCCCGCCAGUAUUCUGGCGGGCAUGCCUGUCCGAGCGUCAUUUCAACCCUCAAGCCCCAGCCGGCUUGGUGUUGGGGACCGGCCCCGGCCGCCCCCCAAAUGCAGUGGCGACCUCGCCGCAGCCUCCCCUGCGUAGUAGCACAACCUCGCACCGGAGCGCGGAGACGGUCACGCCGUAAAACGCCCAACUUCUCAGAGUUGACCUCGGAUCAGGUAGGAAUACCCGCUGAACUUAAGCAUAUCAAUAAGCGGAGGA
rnacentral:misc_RNA from 1 species